AGCGCAGGCGGGCUUGUAAGUCAGUGGUGAAAUACUGCCGCUUAACGGUAGAACUGCCAUUGAUACUGCGAGUCUUGAAUAUGGUUGAGGUAGGCGGAAUGUGUUGUGUAGCGGUGAAAUGCAUAGAUAUGACACAGAACGCCAAUUGCGAAGGCAGCUUACUAAGCCAUUAUUGACGCUGAGGCACGAAAGCGUGGGGAGCGAACAGGAUUAGAUACCCUGGUAGUCC
rnacentral:rRNA from 1 species